UCCUGUGUGGCUCAGUUGGUAGAGCAUGGUGCUUGUAACGCUAGGGCUCUGGGUUUGAUUCCCAUGGGGGAG
rnacentral:tRNA from 1 species